AUAAACAUGUCUCCUUGUAGUUGUCACAGAUAAGGAGUCGAACCUGCCCGGUGAAUAUUUUUAACGGCCGCGGUACCCUGACCGUGCGAAGGUAGCGUAAUUAUUUGCCUUAUAAUUGGAGGCUUGUAUGAAUGGUUUGACUUGAGUGAAUCUGUCUCUUUAUAGUUCUGUAGAAUUUUAUUUUUAGGUGAAGAAGCCUAAAUUAAAUUAAAAGACAAGAAGACCCUAUCGAGCUUUAAAUAAAUUAAUUGGUAAUGUUAAUAUUUAUAAGUAUGGUUGUUUGGCUAACUAUAGUUGUUCUUAGUAGAAUAUAUAGAGUAAUAAUGUACAUUAUUAUAUAAAACAUUGACUGUUAAGAUUUUUUGGUUGGGGCGACUAAGGAACAGACAAAGCUUCCUUGAUUUAUAGGACUUGCGUGUGUUGAUCCAGAAUUUCUGAUUUAAGGAAUUAGUUACCGUAGGGAUAACAGCAUAAUCUUCUUUGAGAGUUCAUAUCGAAAAGGGGGUUUGUGACCUCGAUGUUGGACCAGGAUGUCCUGAAGAUGUAGAAGUCUUUGAGGGUUGGUCUGUUCGACCAUUAAAAUUCUACGUGAUCUGAGUUAAGACCGGCGUGAGCCAGGUCGGUUUCUAUCUUUAAUUUUUAUUUGUAGGCUUAGUACGAAAGGAUCAGCCUAUAGUAUUAAAUGUUGUUUUUGAAGAUAUAUAAUUUUUAAGUUAUCAAAUUAGCAGAAUUUAAUGCAAUUGAUUUAGGAUCAAUAGGUAUAGGCGGAAUUCCUUUAUUUGAUAUAUUGACACUGCAUGACAGAUGGCAGGAUUAGUGCUUUU
rnacentral:rRNA from 1 species